rnacentral:lncRNA from 1 species
UUAGUUGAAAGUCUAAAAUAAAACAAUCUGGUGGCAAUUUAUUGAAUCGAGAAGACGGUAGUGGGUAGGGCGUUCAAAUAAAAAUUGCAUUCUGUGGCCGCCGUUGCGCUGGCAAAUGGAACGAGUAAGAUUUCCAAAUGAAAUUGAAGCCACAGCAAAUAGUGCAUAGCUCCAAGGCUUGGAAACAAAUAUAGAAGCUAUACGAUGCCAGAAAGACUACAGAGAAUCGAAGAGCGCUAACCAGGAAACAGCGUAAAAGGGCCAAUUCGUUGAGCAAGGGCGUGCUCAUAGCAUGGAAAUACAAUGCAAACGGUGCCAACAUAAAAUUAAACUGCCAAGGCAUAAGCAAGAAUUUUUACCUGAAACUGUGACGCCUGCCCACAGCAUCAAAUAAGGAUAUCGUUCCAAUGAAACCCAAUAUUAAUGACGUAUUUUGACGACGAUGAACUCUUUGCGAACGCUCCGGGUUUUCAUCACCGGGCUUGUAAAUUGAUGGCACGGAGCCUCGUUUCAACAAUCUUCUUUUUGCAUAACCUUAGAAAUGUUUUAAACACUUUCAUUAAUAUAAACACAAUAAACGAAAUAAAUAAACAUCCUACCCAUUUCGAA